GAAAAGUCAGACCUCUGCAACCCACCACACGGUCUUGGGGAAACCGUCCAAAAUCCUCUGCAAACUUCCUAUUGUCAGAGACUCGCGUGAGCAAAUUCCCAGCGAAGGCAAUCGGACAUGUCAUUAGGAGAGCAACCCAAGCAGAAAGGCCCCAUAUGACCUCCCCGGUGCCGAGCGCCUUUAAUAAUAAGAAGGAGUUACGAGGCUUGCAGAGAGACUGAUCUGAAGGAUCCUCCUCCCAAGCUCUGCAGGACCACGAUGAGGAUCUACUGAACAGCAACGGCUCUGCCCUCUGUGCCUACCAACCCACCCGCCAGCCCCAUACCUCUGUACCAUUCUGCUCCGGCAGAUCUGGAAUAAUAAUAAUAAUAAUUGCAAAUAUUAAUGA